rnacentral:rRNA from 1 species
GACGAACGCUGGCGGCGUGCUUAACACAUGCAAGUCGAACGGAAAGGCCCUGCUUUUGUGGGGUGCUCGAGUGGCGAACGGGUGAGUAACACGUGAGUAACCUGCCCUUGACUUUGGGAUAACUUCAGGAAACUUGGGCUAAUACCGGAUAGUAGCUCCUGCUGCAUGGUGGGUGUUGGAAAGUUUCGGCGGUUGGGGAUGGACUCGCGGCUUAUCAGCUUGUUGGUGGGGUAGUGGCUUACCAAGGCUUUGACGGGUAGCCGGCCUGAGAGGGUGACCGGCCACAUUGGGACUGAGAUACGGCCCAGACUCCUACGGGAGGCAGCAGUGGGGAAUAUUGCACAAUGGGCGGAAGCCUGAUGCAGCAAAGCCGCGUGCGGGAUGACGGCCUUCGGGUUGUAAACCGCUUUCGCAUGUGACGAAGCGUGAGUGACGGUAAUGGGUAAAGAAGCACCGGCUAACUACGUG